GUUUAGAUGCACAAGCUAUUGAAAGCUUAUAUGAAAAAUUAAACACUAUGGAGAAUACAAUAAACAAUUUAGUUAACGCUUUGAAACCUUCAUCAAGUUCCUCA